rnacentral:rRNA from 1 species
CCUGACUGCUAUCGGAUUGAUACUAAGCCAUGCGAGUCUUUGCAGUAAUGCAAGGCAUACGGCUCAGUAACACGUAGUCAACUUACCCUAUGGACGAGGAUAAUCUCGGGAAACUGAGCAUAAUACUCGAUAGAUCAUAAUGCCUGGAAUGGUUUAUGGUUGAAAUGAUUCGUCGCCAUAGGAUGGGACUGCGGCCUAUCAGCUUGUUGGUGAGGUAAUGGCCCACCAAGGCGAUUACAGGUACGGGCUCUGAGAGGAGAAGCCCGGAGAUGGGUACUGAGACAAGGACCCAGGCCCUAUGGGGCGCAGCAGGCGAGAAAACUUUGCAAUGUGCGAAAGCACGACAAGGUUAAUCCGAGUGAUUUCUGCUAAAGAAAUCUUUUGCAAGUCAUAAAACCACUAGUGAAUAAGGGGUGGGCAAGUUCUGGUGUCAGCCGCCGCGGUAAAACCAGCACCUCAAGUGGUCAGGAGGAUUAUUGGGCCUAAAGCAUCCGUAGCCGGCUCUGUAAGUUUUCGGUUAAAUCCAUGUGCUCAACGCAUGGGCUGCCGAAAAUACUGCAUAGCUAGGGAGUGGGAGAGGUAGACGGUACUCGGUAGGAAGGGGUAAAAUCCUUUGAUCUAUCGAUGACCACCUGUGGCGAAGGCGGUCUACCAGAACACGUUCGACGGUGAGGGAUGAAAGCUGGGGGAGCAAACCGGAUUAGAUACCCGGGUAGUCCCAGCUGUAAACGAUGCAGACUCGAUGAUGCAUUGGCAUAUAGCCAGUGCAGUGUCGCAGGGAAGCCGUUAAGUCUGCCGCCUGGGAAGUACGUACGCAAGUAUGAAACUUAAAGGAAUUGGCGGGGGAGCACCACAAGGGGUGAAGCCUGC